rnacentral:tRNA from 1 species
GUUCCUAUAGUUGAGAGUCAACGAUGGCUUUUCAAGCCAUAGGCCUUGGAGAGAAGCCAAGUGGGAACUG